rnacentral:ncRNA from 1 species
AGGAGCCGUAUGAGGUGAAAGUCUCAUGUACGGUUCUGAGUUGAGUGGGAGGGAUAGACCGUGAGGUCUAUCUCGACCCCUAA